rnacentral:rRNA from 1 species
AUUGAACGCUGGCGGCAGGCCUAACACAUGCAAGUCGAACGGUAACAGGAAGAAGCUUGCUUCUUUGCUGACGAGUGGCGGACGGGUGAGUAAUGUCUGGGAAACUGCCUGAUGGAGGGGGAUAACUACUGGAAACGGUAGCUAAUACCGCAUAACGUCGCAAGACCAAAGAGGGGGGACCUUCGGGCCUCUUGCCAUCGGAUGUGCCCAGAUGGGAUUAGCUAGUAGGUGGGGUAACGGCUCACCUAGGCGACGAUCCCUAGCUGGUCUGAGAGGAUGACCAGCCACACUGGAACUGAGACACGGUCCAGACUCCUACGGGAGGCAGCAGUGGGGAAUAUUGCACAAUGGGCGCAAGCCUGAUGCAGCCAUGCCGCGUGUAUGAAGAAGGCC